AGAGUUUGAUCCUGGCUCAGGACGAACGCUGGCGGGCGUGCUUAACACAUGCAAGGUCGAACGAUGAAGCUCCAGCUUGCUGGGGUGGAUUAGUGGCGAACGGGUGAGUAACACGUGAGUAACCUGCCCUUCACUCUGGGAUAAGCCUUGGAAACGAGGUCUAAUACUGGAUAUUCAUACAUGGUCGCAUGGUUGUGUGUGGAAAGAUUUUUUGGCGGGGGAUGGACUCGCGGCCUAUCAGCUUGUUGGUGAGGUAGUGGCUCACCAAGGCUUUGACGGGUAGCCGGCCUGAGAGGGUGACCGGCCACACUGGGACUGAGACACGGCCCAGACUCCUACGGGAGGCAGCAGUGGGGAACAUUGCACAAUGGGCGAAAGCCUGAUGCAGCGACGCCGCGUGAGGGAUGACGGCCUUCGGGUUGUAAACCUCUUUCAGUAGGGACGAAGCGAGAGUGACGGUACCUGCAGAAGAAGCACCGGCUAACUACGUGCCAGCAGCCGCGGUAAUACGUAGGGUGCGAGCGUUGUCCGGAAUUAUUGGGCGUAAAGAGCUUGUAGGCGGUUUGUCGCGUCUGCUGUGAAAGACCGGGGCUUAACUCCGGUUCUGCAGUGGGUACGGGCAGGCUAGAGUGUGGUAGGGGAGACUGGAAUUCCUGGUGUAGCGGUGAAAUGCGCAGAUAUCAGGAGGAACACCGAUGGCGAAGGCAGGUCUCUGGGCUAUUACUGACGCUGAGAAGCGAAAGCAUGGGGAGCAAACAGGAUUAGAUACCCUGGUAGUCCAUGCCGUAAACGUUGGGCGCUAGGUGUGGGACUCAUUCCACGAGUUCCGUGCCGCAGCUAACGCAUUAAGCGCCCCGCCUGGGGAGUACGGCCGCAAGGCUAAAACUCAAAGGAAUUGACGGGAAGGGCGAA
rnacentral:rRNA from 1 species